ensembl:lncRNA
AAGUUGAGGCGAGGGACAGGCUAAGUUGAGGCGAGGGACAGGCUAAGUUGAGGCGAGGGACAGGCUAAGUUGAGGCGAGGGACAGGGUAAGUUGAGGCGAGGGACAGGGUAAGUUGAGGCGAGGGACAGGGUAAGUUGAGGCGAGGGACAGGGUAAGUUGAGGCGAGGGACAGGGUAAGUUGAGGCGGGGGACAGGCUAAGUUGAGGCGAGGGACAGGGUAAGUUGAGGCGAGGGUAGGUUGAGGCGAGGGACAGGCUAAGUUGAGGCGAGGUACAGGCUAAGUUGAGGCGAGGGACAGGGUAAGUUGAGGCGAGGGACAGGGUAAGUUGAGGCGAGGGACAGGGUAAGUUGAGGCGAGGGACAGGGUAAGUUGAGGCGGGG